rnacentral:rRNA from 1 species
AAAGGAAUAGACGGGGGCCCGCACAAGCGGAGGAACAUGUGGUUUAAUUCGAUGAUACGCGAGGAACCUUACCCGGGCUCGAACGGCUAUAGAAUACGACAGAGAUGUUGUAGCCAGCAAUGGCUGUAGUCGAGGUGCUGCAUGGUUGUCGUCAGCUCGUGCCGUGAGGUGUCGGCUUAAGUGCCAUAACGAGCGCAACCCUUGUCGUUAGUUGCCAUCGGGUAAAGCCGGGAACUCUAACGAGACUGCCACCGUAAGGUGCGAGGAAGGGGGGGAUGACGUCAAAUCAGCACGGCCCUUACGUCCGGGGCGACACACGUGUUACAAUGGGAGGUACAGAGGGCAGCUACUCAGCAAUGGGAUGCUAAUCUCAAAAACCUCUCUCAGUUCGGAUUGGAGUCUGCAACUCGACUCCAUGAAGUUGGAUUCGCUAGUAAUCGCACAUCAGCCAUGGUGCGGUGAAUACGUUCCCGGGCCUUGUACACACCGCCCGU